GACGAACGCUGGCGGCGUGCUUAACACAUGCAAGUCGAACGGAAAGGCCCUGCGUAUGUGGGGUGCUCGAGUGGCGAACGGGUGAGUAACACGUGAGUAACCUGCCCUUGAGACUGGGAUAACUGCAGGAAACGGGGGCUAAUACCGGAUAGGAGGGCGUGCUGCAUGGGGGGGGUUGGAAAGGUCCGGCGGUUGGGGAUGGGCUCGCGGCGUGUCAGUUUGUUGGUGGGGUAGUGGCUUACCAAGGAGUCGACGGGGAGCCGGCGUGAGGGGGGGACCGGCCACAUUGGGUCUGAGAUACGGCCCAGACUCCUACGGGGCGCAGCUGUGGGGAAUAUUGCACAAUGGGCGGACGCCUGAUGCCGCAGCGCCGCGUGCGGGAUGACGGCCUUCGGGUUGUAAACCGCUUGCGCCUGUGCCGACGCGUGAGUGACGUUAAUGGGUAAAGAAGCACCGGCUAACUACGUG
rnacentral:rRNA from 1 species